CCCUCAUUAGCAUAUUAACGGUCAACUGACACCUGGUGCAAAAACCGCACAUGUGCAGUACCGUUGUUCACCACUGGAGGGCGCCCUACAUCUCAUUAUCGUAUGGCCGCCCUAGCAAGGGGACAAGCCUGCACGUGCGCAAACGCACUACUUUUGAGCGGCUGAUGAAAUGGACUUGAUCAAAUAAUAAAGAGAAGUUGGAUGCUGUGAGGAAUAAAGAGUGGGAUAAUUAAGACACAUUAGCAAGCUCAGUGGGAAACAAAGAAGUCAGCUCGAAGAAGUCACCUUUGUCUUAAAAGGAAGAGAAAGAGAAGGAGGAAAGAAGGGUCCCCACCUACUCAAGUGCCCCAGCUGGGAUUUUUCUGGUGGAGCUGGGGGACAAUGAAAAGCAUUGAACCGUGGGGAGCUUCAACCACAAAGACAAAAAGUCUUCUUGCAUCCAAUCAAGAAUCCUACCAGCCCCCAGGUGAGGGCGUUCAGUCAGACCCCUGGGUGAGGCUCUGUUGCUCUAACUGUGACAUAGUUCUGAUAUCCAGGAGAAAUCCAGGAAGAAAUGAAGACGUAUGUGAAAUUCAUUCAGCUUCAUACUCCAACCAAAUGGGCCACUUGGAACAUUAAAUGGUACAAUAUAUUCUUAUUGGGGUUGAAUGUGCAACGUUUCUUGGGGAAUUCCUCUGUUCUUAAUUGCAAGUCAGGCUUGUCCCCACCCCAUGGAGAAAACUGGGAAAUGUUUCCCGAGGGGCAUGCGCAGAGCAUUUCAGUAAGUGAGCAAGAAAGAAAUGGGAGCUCCAAAUACUGGGGUGAUCCAAAUGUGCCUUACUUUGUUGCCGAUUAUGGCUCUGGGUUAAAGGCUAUCUCUAGGAGUUUGAGAAUGUGUUAGGUCUCUCCUACCCCUGUCUCUGCCUCUACCCAAAUAUACCUCUGUCUCUACAUCUCCACCUAUCACUGCCUGACUCCGCCUCUAUCUUCCCACUUCCUGCCUCCCUUUACCACUCUGCCUUCAAAGACCUUAGAGUUCUGAGCUGGUUUAAAUCUUUACUGUGAGGUCUUCUGUUCAGCUUGGCCAGUGCUUAUGGAUGCAAUGCAUUCCCUGAGCUCAGACACAGGCCUGACUCUGUCUCUGCCUCUAUUUCUGUCUAUGCCUCUCUGCCUCUGCCUCUCUCUGUUACUCUGGCUUUGUCUGUGUCUCUGUCUCUCUCACACUCUGUGCCUCUCUGUGUGUCUCUCUGUGUGUCUCUCUGUCUCUCUCUCUCUGUCUCUCUGUCUGUCUCUCUCUGUCUCUCUCUGUCUCUGUCUCUGUCUCUCUCUCUCUCUCUCUCUCUCUCUCUCUCUCUCUCUCUCUCUCUCUCUCUCUCU